rnacentral:tRNA from 1 species
AAGAGAUUAGUCUAAAAUAAGACAACUGAUUUCGACUCAGUCAAUUGUAAAUUCUAUUGCAAUCUCUUU